CUCUGCCUCCCAGGUUCAAGCAAUUAUCGUGCCUCAGCCUCCUGAGUAGCUGGGACUGCAGUUGCCCACCAAUGUACCAACUAAUUUUUGUAUUUUUAGCAGAGACAGGUUUUGCCAUGUUGGCCAGGCUACUCUUGAACUGCUAGGCUCAAGUGAUCCUCCCUCCUCUCCCUCCCAAAGUGCUGGGAUUACAGGUGCGAGCCACCGCGCCUGGCCCUAACAAAAAAAUUUUAAUUGCCAAAUACGUGUAUCAUAACAUUUACC
rnacentral:lncRNA from 1 species